rnacentral:rRNA from 1 species
CCUGCCCAAGAGAUCGGGAUAACACCUGGAAACAGAUGCUAAUACCGGAUAACAACAGAUGAUGCCUAUCAACUGUUUAAAAGAUGGUUCUGCUAUCACUCUUGGAUGGACCUGCGGUGCAUUAGCUAGUUGGUAGGGUAACGGCCUACCAAGGCGAUGAUGCAUAGCCGAGUUGAGAGACUGAUCGGCCACAUUGGGACUGAGACACGGCCCAAACUCCUACGGGAGGCAGCAGGC